GUUUAUGGGCAUACCAACUUGAAUAUGUCUGAUCUCAUCUAUCUCAGAAGCUAAGCAGAGUAGGGCCUGGGUAGUAUCUGGAUGGGUGACAAACACACUGCUCUAUAAAUU
rnacentral:rRNA from 1 species